AUUGACACUAAAUUAGCCAGUCUUGUAUGUAUAAAUACCACUUGUGGCACUUGUCGUAUUAAGUUUGUUUGUUGCGUUCUUGGCAAAGUGUAUUUGUUCUAUUUUUGUCUAUUUUGGUUAUAUUUUUGUGCUCGUAUGGCCAACUCCGCAUGAAAUCUAAGCCACUCUAUCUGAUACAAGCGCAAUGAUUCACAGGACCAGCGGCUUUGAUCAAGGGUUGGUCUAAUUGUUGGGUUGGAUAUUCUAUCUUUAGAAUAUAUCAGACCAUUGCAUCUCAUAAAUCGCAAAAUCUGUAGUUAUUCACGAAGAUGUGAAAAUAGCAACAGUCAGUUGAAAAGAGGAAACACUUGGGUAUCUACAAUACGAUACCGUAGACGCUUACCUACCAUACACAGUACUCUGUAUACAUUACGGAGUACACUGGGUGUGGCUUGGCUUGGCUCCUGCCAGUGCCCGGGACCAAAUUCCCAGCCAGUCAAGCCAAGGCUCGGGAUUAAGGUAUGAUACGUGUAUACGGAAAAAAUCAUACUCAUAGACAUGCAAAAGAAGCAAAUCCUUCUGAAACUGGACCCCGACAUGUAUCCCAUGUUUCGCUCAGGGUUUUGUCCUACGUUGGAGAUCGGGAUAACCACAUAAAUCCCUCGUUGAUUGCUCAUCAAAGCAAGGGGAUCUGUUCCGGCAUGGAGUACUCCGGACUGGCCGCGUGUGCUAAUGUACUCCAUGAAAUUCGACUACGGGGUGUAUACAUGACUGGUGGCGACAUCCGGACUUGACAGCGCAUUACAAUUAUCUUUUUUUUUUGGAGAAGGUAGUAGUCGUUCUCAAUAAUGAGUCCAAGAACCAACCCCCUUAUCCAGUCAUUGACUACCAUUAACCACUCAAUAUACACGAUCAUGCAGAACCACCACCCAUUCCUAUAGACUAGCGAAUCUGAUAACAUAGUCACUCUGUACGUGGUUUACAUAUCCAUGCCCUGUGUACGUACGCACGCAAGUCUUUUCACCUGCAGAACGAUCUGCAAAAUGUUCGAUUCGUGAUUGGGUGGCUCGUACUUUUCUUUCCUUCCCUCAAUAACUAUCCCUUCUUAAGUCCGGUCGCCAAUCAACACUUUUCAUUUCGAUUUCUUUUCGGGGAGUAUGCAUUAUCCUGGGGUGCUAUCACCUGAUAGUCUGAUAGUACAUGCAUACGAAACAUUUGACUCAUUUUUCUAGAAGGUGGGCUGGAGAAUUCUCUAAUCCCUGUUGUGCAGCGGUGUAACCGUGUGACUUUUGACUGUGCAACGAUUCUUUUCUUCUUCUUCUGCUUUUCGAGACAUGUUUCUGAUUCCAUGCCACACCAAUGGUUCAACUUAUCUGCUCUCCAGUUCGAAUACAGUGGGGCCGGGGGAAUGUAGGAACCCAUGAUAACCGGAAGGAUAGAUCUACAUCGUUACUUGUUUGGGUAACCCAUCAGUUGGUUGUGCUACCACCACCCACCAAUCCCGUCCCCACCGAAUAAGGAACUACGCAGGAAUCACCGAGUAUGAUUCAUGUUUAGUCAUCUGCCUACCUACCUAUCUAAGUUAACUAACUAGUUAUCUAAAUGAUCGACAAUCUCCAAACCAAAACACCAAUUGCAAUUCGGUACGAAGAUACUCAUCGCAUUGCAUACUAUAUAUGUAGCAGCUAGUCAAUAAUCACACUGAAAAUACAGAGCGACAAGCGUCGUAGAUACUAGACACUAAGACCCUACUGCCAACUCGUGCCAAGUCACCUUAACUGGGCUGUAUGAGUCAGGCUCGUUGGUAGUGACAUCAAGACCGCCAUACAAAAAAAAAAAGGCGCGUUGGUUGGUUGAUCUGUUGGUUGGAAUUGUCUGUCUCAUGUGGAGAUUUGAGUUUUGAAUCUAUUUUCGCACAGCCCAUGUUUAAAUUUAUCUUUGUUGGGCUAACGGGCUUGGCUAACAAAGUUAAGUUGACUAGAUACUACUACGAGUACGUACGUAUAUAACUAGUAGACGGCCUAUUCUAAGUUUCUAACAGUCGCCUCGUCGGCUAGUCAAAACCCGAGCUCAAAUUAAUAACAAUGUCCAUUAUUAAGCGUCGGAAGCGCACCUCUGAGUCUCUGACAAAUAACCUAUCCGGUGUUUGGCAGCCGAUCAUUCGCGGGUCAAGAAUAUCAGAAGGGGGGGAGGGUACUGCAGAAAAAGGAAAUAUUCUAGAAACCCUGGGAGAAGCAGGGUGCACAGACCUGUCGGUUCGUCUCGUUUUGUUACAGCUAAUACUGUGUAACAUCUGUAUCCCCUGUACGGAGUACGGUGUACUCCGUACGUACUGUAUGAAGACAUGGGGAUCAAAUCA
rnacentral:lncRNA from 1 species